UGUGACGCUGUGCCAGCAGCCGCGGGAAGACCGAGGGUGCAAGGUUUGUUCGGAAUUACUGGUCUUAAAUGGCGCGUAGGCGGCCCGCUAAGUCGAACGUGAAAUCCCCGAGCUCAACUCGGGAACUGCGUCCGAUACUGGCGGGCUUGAAUCCGGGAGAGGGAUGCGGAAUUCCAGGUGUAGCGGUGAAAUGCGUAGAUAUCUGGAGGAACACCGGUGGCGAAGGCGGCAUCCUGGACCGGCAUUGACGCUGAGGCGCGAAAGCUAGGGGAGCAAACGGGAUUAGAUACCCCUGUAGUC
rnacentral:rRNA from 1 species